rnacentral:lncRNA from 1 species
GCGGUAAUAAAAAUUAAACUAUUGAAUUUUUCUAAAGAGAAUAGACUAUACAAAAUAUAUUAACUCUCGAUAAAUACUAAAAUAAAUGAAAAUCUCAUUUUCAAAAAUAUUUUUCACCUCAUCAUUCAACUCUGCCACCACAAGUCCAUAAUCACUGCCAUGAAUGACAAAAAUAGAAAUGAUAAGAAGGCUCUACUACUAUACCACCAAUCUACAGUGCCACCAACAAGCACUACCACAAACAACAUAGCACCACUAGAUCCACCUCCUUACAAGGCUACAACCACCACCAGAAUCACCGUCAUGCCCCAGAAUCCUAGAGAGUCAUGGUUAACCCAUAAACUCCAUCGUACCACCGGUAUACCACUAAAUCUACAAUCAUCGCUAACAUGGACCACAUCAUCAUAACCACUAACACCUCUGUAGCCCAACCAUCAUCUCCAUUAUGUUUCUCUUCGGUGGAAAGAACACACAAAGAGAGAGAAAGAUGGCGGAAGGAAAG